rnacentral:rRNA from 1 species
AGGGCACCACCAGGAGUGGAGCCUGCGGCUUAAUUUGACUCAACACGGGAAAACUUACCCGGCCCGGACACUGGAAGGAUUGACAGAUUGAGAGCUCUUUCUUGAUUCAGUGGGUGGUGGUGCAUGGCCGUUCUUAGUUGGUGGAGCGAUUUGUCUGGUUAAUUCCGAUAACGAACGAGACUCUAGCCUACUAAAUAGACUGCUCAACUUUAUAGCUGUAUCACCUUGCAGUUGCUUCGGUGGCUGUAAGGCUAUGGUGACGUUGGCAGUGCUUCUUAGAGGGACAGGCGGCGGUUCAGCCGCACGAAACAGAGCAAUAACAGGUCUGUGAUGCCCUUAGAUGUCCAGGGCCGCACGCGCGCUACACUGAAGUGAUCAGCGUGCAAUUAACGUUUCCUACUCCGUCAGGAGUGGGUAACCCGUUGAACCUUCUUCGUGAUUGGGAUAGGGGAUUGUAAUUAUUCCCCUUGAACGAGGAAUUCCCAGUAAGCGCAAGUCAUAAGCUUGCGUUGAUUACGU